rnacentral:sRNA from 1 species
GGUAGUCUUGGGAAUUACAGAAAAGUGUAGUUUUGAAAUGAUCCUUGUGGAGAAAAGGAAAGGAAACUAGAGAAACAAAUAUUAUCUGGCAAUAUUGAGGUUUGGCUAGGGAUUGUAACCAUAAAUUUACAGUGGUGUCAUUUUCCAUAUAAUAUUCUUCUUUAUAAAGCUUUUCCAAGGAAUCAAAGAAUGUUGGCUAUAGCAGAUUCAUAAUGUUUAUUGCUAUUAUCAUAAAUUAUUUUUUAUUUUAAAAAGUUCUAGUCCUUUAGCCAGGUCUGUCGUCUUCAUAGAACAUUGUUCUGUUACCCAUAAAAGAUGCCAUUAAGAUUGUGGCCUGGGCCGGGCGCGGUGGCUCACGCCUGUAAUCCCAGCACUUUGGGAGGCUGAGGCAGGCGGAUCACGAGGUCAGGAGAUCAACACCAUCCUGGCUAACAUGGUGAAACCCCGUCUCUCCUAAAAAUACGAAAAAAAAAAAAAAAUUAGCUGGGCGUGGUGGCAGGCGCCUGUAGUCCCAGCUACUCAGGAGGCUGAGGCAGGAGAAUGGCGUGAACCCCGGAGACAGAGCUUGUAGUGAGCCAAGAUCGCGCCACUGCACUCCAGCCUGGGUGACAGAGCGAGACUACGUCUCAAAAAAAGAAAAAAAAAAGAUUGUGGUCUGAGCAUACUCCACACUUUGAACAUGUCUACAGAUCAUACUUAGGUAUUGUAAAAUACCUAAUUUGACAAAUGAGUUUUAGUAAUUUUAUAACUUGGCCAUAUUUUUUAAAAAUAUAUAGGAAGACUUUGUUUUAUAUCUUACAAAAAUUUUGUGUUAAAUAAAUAGAUUUAGACAUAGUUUUACUUCUUCAGGUUGCCAGUUGGGUUAAUUUAAAAACAUACUUGCAUAGAAGACUUGAAAGCAUUUGUAUUUGUUUUCUUUUUUAGGGGCAAAAAGGCCCCGAGUCACUUCAGGUGGUGUGUCAGAGUCUCCCAGUGGAUUUUCUAAGCACAUUCAAUCCAAUUUGGACUUCUCUCCAGUAAACAGUGCUUCUAGUGAAGAAAAUGUGAAGUACUCCAGUUCUCAGCCAGAACCCCGCACAGGUCUUUCCUUAUGGGAUACCAGCCCCUCAUACAUUGAUAAAUUGGUACAAGGGAUCAGCUUUUCCCAGCCCACAUGUCCUGAUCAUAUGCUUUUGAAUAGUCAGUUACUUGGCACCCCAGGAUCCUCACAGAACCCCUGGCAGCGGUUGGUCAAAAGAAUGACACGAUUCUUUACCAAAUUGGAUGCAGACAAAUCUUAUCAAUGCCUGAAAGAGACUUGUGAGAAGUUGGGCUAUCAAUGGAAGAAAAGUUGUAUGAAUCAGGUUACUGUAUCAACAACUGAUAGGAGAAACAAUAAACUCAUUUUCAAAGUGAAUUUGUUAGAAAUGGAUGAUAAAAUAUUGGUUGACUUCCGGCUUUCUAAGGGUGAUGGAUUGGAGUUCAAGAGACACUUCCUGAAGAUUAAAGGGAAGCUGAUUGAUAUUGUGAGCAGCCAGAAGGUUUGGCUUCCUGCCACAUGAUCGGACCAUUGGCUCUGGGGAAUCCUGGUGAAUAUAGUGCUGCUAUGUUGACAUUAUUCUUCCUAGAGAAGAUUAUCCUGUCCUGCAAACUGCAAACAGUAGUUCCUGAAGUGUUCACUUCCCUGUUUAUCCAAACAUCUUCCAAUUUAUUUUGUUUGUUCGGCAUACAAAUAAUACCUAUAUCUUAAUUGUAAGCAAAACUUUGGGGAAAGGAUGAAUAGAAUUCAUUUGAUUAUUUCUUCAUGUAUGUUUAGUAUCUGAAUUUG